CCAAUAGCGUAUAUUAAAGUUGUUGCAGUUAAAAAGCUCGUAGUUGAAUUUCGGGGUUCUACCGUUGGUCGGGCAAUUGUCUGUACUGGCGUGUGGAAUUUCUACCUUCUGGGGAACCAUCAUGUUAUUAAUUUAGCGUGGUGGGAAACCAGGACCUUUACCUUGAAAAAAUUAGAGUGUUCAAAGCAGGCUUACGUCUGAAUACAUUAGCAUGGAAUAAUAAAAUAGGACGGUGGUCCUGUUUUGUUGGUUUCUGAAUCACCGUAAUGAUUAAUAGGGAUAGUUGGGGGCAUUAGUAUUCAAUUGUCAGAGGUGAAAUUCUUGGAUUUAUUGAAGACUAACUUCUGCGGAAGCAUUUGCCAAGGAUGUUUUCAUUAAUCAAGAACGAAAGUUAGGGGAUCGAAGACGAUCAGAUACCGUCGUAGUCUUAACCAUAAACUAUGCCGACUAGGGAUCGGACGAUGUUAAUUUUUCUUGACUCGUUCGGCGCCUUACG
rnacentral:rRNA from 1 species